rnacentral:misc_RNA from 1 species
UUGGUUUGUUACCGGUGGUUGACCCAAUUGCUUGUGUGACAACAUCCACCUGACAUGCCCGUUCGUUAAGGUUUCGAUUACCUGAACCAAUUUUGGGUUUCUUGUGUUGCCUACCUAACAUACGGUAUUGAUUUUGCUUAUCUACGUCCCGUUUGUCUUUCGUCAUGCUAGAGAAGUUAGAUGAACCGUAAACCUGUCUCUUUGAGCCACACCAUUGAUUUUUGUGUUGAUGUAGUGGUGCAUGGAGCCUUGCUUGGUCUCUUUGAUGUAGUGUUURAUGUGGCAUGGGUCUCAUGGGAUCCUUGCUAUGUCCCUGUUUACGCUCCGUAAAAUGACUGCUUGACACGCGUUGGCUCGAAAAAGCGUGUUAGGCUUUGUCUAAGAGGAAUGUUACCUGGU